UUUAGAACGAAGACUACAGAGUUUUACUAGAGGAUAACCAACGAACAGAAUUUAGAACGAAGACUACAGAGUUUUACUAGAGGAUAACCUAACGAACAGAAUUAGAACGAAGACUACCAGAGUUUUACUAGAGGAUAACCUAACGAACAGAAAUUAGAACAAAGACUACAGAAUUUUACUAGAGGGUAACCUAACGAACAGACUUGAGAGAGUACGUAGCUACACUAGGGUGGAGGUCAAGGACUGUUUGAUUACCUCACACACAGGGAGAGGAUGGAGGUUGUUUUCAAGGAGGGGAUGCUCUACGUUAAGGGAAACAAGUUUGGAAAGAAAACGUGGAGGAAGACGUGGAUGGUUCUCUACCUCUAGCUUUUCGGCAUCGGUCGAGUUGAAUUCUACGACAUCCUUGACGGAGGCCACACAACCGCCAGCUCAAGUUCCAAGUCCACCCAGUGUAGGAGGAUUGUUCAGCUGUGUGACUGCUCAGUGUUACCCUGGCCCCAGAGGAGAGCUGCCUCCAGCCUACCUAACGACGACUGUAGAGCGUUCGACCUGAACACCAACAAAGAAGAUACAUCCUGGCCUCAGAGAACUACCAUGACUGGGUGGAGGCUCUCUGCCAACUA